ACUUAUCUAGAUCAAAUCAUUUUUUUAACGGGAUCUAUAUAGAGAGCCAAAAAGAAGAAAAAAAAAAGGCUUCAAAAAGUUCAAUUAAAAUAGUCAAUACAUCAAUCAAUCAAAAAAGUUUGACUUGUGAUUUCCGGCGACUUUAAUCUCCGGAUCUUGGAUUCUAUAAUCAAGAUAUAGGAUAUUCAAGAAAUGGCUAACGGUCAAAAAUAGGUGUCAACAUUCAUUUAACGGAUUUCACGAGAGAGUCAAUAUGCAAUCCUGUGGAUAUCGAAACAGAAUUGACGAAUAAACAUGUCAAGGAAGACUCAACGUCUAUUUUCUACUUCAACACGUUGAUUAUAUUGGGCGUGGAAGAUCCUGGAUAUUGCGGACAGUUAGUUAAAUCUUUGUAUUAUAAAUAUCGAGUGGUUGAUCGAAGUAUAGACACAUUAAGCAUUCGGUACUCACACUUGUAAUCACACACACUUACUCACUGCUUUAUUUUCACUAGUUCGAUCAAACCACUCACUCAUUCAUUGUAUUGUAAUCAACGAAAAUAAUAAAAGAACAAAGGAAGGGUCGAUUGUAUCCUUCCGGGUUAUUUACCAAA